rnacentral:rRNA from 1 species
UACGUAGGGGGCAAGCGUUGUCCGGAAUUAUUGGGCGUAAAGCGCGCGCAGGCGGUUCUUUUAAGUCUGGUGUAUAAGUGCGGGGCUCAACCCCGUGAGGCACUGGAAACUGGGGAACUUGAGUGCAGAAGAGGAGAGCGGAAUUCCACGUGUAGCGGUGAAAUGCGUAGAGAUGUGGAGGAACACCAGUGGCGAAGGCGGCUCUCUGGACUGUAACUGACGCUGAGGCGCGAAAAGCGUGGG